UACGUAGGUGACAAGCGUUAUCCGGAUUUACUGGGUGUAAAGGGCGUGUAGGCGGGUCUGCAAGUCGGAUGUGAAAUUUUCAGGCUUAACCUGGAAGGGUCAUCCGAAACUGCGGAUCUUGAGUACUGGAGAGGAUAGUGGAAUUCCUAGUGUAGCGGUAAAAUGCGUAGAUAUUAGGAGGAACACCAGUGGCGAAGGCGGCUAUCUGGACAGUAACUGACGCUGAGGCGCGAAAGCGUGGGGAGCAAACAGG
rnacentral:rRNA from 1 species